rnacentral:rRNA from 1 species
UACGUAGGGGGCUAGCGUUGUCCGGAAUCAUUGGGCGUAAAGCGCGUGUAGGCGGCCCGGUAAGUCCGCUGUGAAAGUCGGGGGCUCAACCCUCGAAUGCCGGUGGAUACUGUCGGGCUCGAGUGCGGAAGAGGCGAGUGGAAUUCCUGGUGUAGCGGUGAAAUUCGUAGAUAUCGGGAGGAACACCGGUGGCGAAGGCGACCAUCUGGACGGAUACUGACGCUGAGACGCGAAAGCGUGGGUAGCAAACAGG